rnacentral:lncRNA from 1 species
GAAUCUUGGCUAACUUAUCAACUAUUCGUUGUGGCGUUUGUCAGAUUCUCAUCUAAAUCCUUCGAUCAUUGGUGUUUCAGCUUCUCUAAGUUUGGGGUGCCAUAGGAGGUGGGUUUAUCAAAUCUUUGAAUUCCAUAUCUACUUGUGCGUGUGGGUUUGAGGCUUGUGCCAUAGGGUUCCGCGUCAGUUGGUAUCAGAGCCAAAGUGAGGUAAAUUCUUAUUUAUCUUAGGAUCUAGGGGUUUUUGAGUUUUCCUUGUCUUUCUUGUUCUUUUCGGUGAAAGCUUGUGUGUCCAUGGCUGCAUCUUCUUGAUUAUUA